ACGUACACUCCUACGGGAGGCAGCAGUGGGGAAUUUUGGACAAUGGGCGCAAGCCUGAUCCAGCCAUGCCGCGUGCGGGAAGAAGGCCUUCGGGUUGUAAACCGCUCUUGUCAGGGAAGAAAAGGUUCUGGCUAAUACCUGGGACUCAUGACGGUACCUGAAGAAUAAGCACCGGCUAACUACGUGCCAGCAGCCGCGGUAAUACGUAGGGUGCAAGCGUUAAUCGGAAUUACUGGGCGUAAAGCGUGCGCAGGCGGUUAUGCAAGACAGAGGUGAAAUCCCCGGGCUCAACCUGGGAACUGCCUUUGUGACUGCAUGGCUAGAGUACGGUAGAGGGGGAUGGAAUUCCGCGUGUAGCAGUGAAAUGCGUAGAUAUGCGGAGGAACACCGAUGGCGAAGGCAAUCCCCUGGACCUGUACUGACGCUCAUGCACGAAAGCGUGGGGAGCAAACAGGAUUAGAAACCCCAGUAGUCCC
rnacentral:rRNA from 1 species